AUUGAACGCUGGCGGCAUGCUUUACACAUGCAAGUCGAACGGCAGCGCGGGGGCAACCCUGGCGGCGAGUGGCGAACGGGCGAGUAAUGUAUCGGAACGUAUCCUGUAAGUGGGGGAUAACCAGUCGAAAGAUUGGGUAAUACCGCAUACGCACGAGAGUGGAAAGUAGGGGAUCGCAAGACCUUACGUUAUAGGAGCGGCCGAUAUCUGAUUAGCUAGUUGGUGGGGUAAAGGCCUACCAAGGCGACGAUCAGUAGCUGGUCUGAGAGGACGACCAGCCACACUGGGACUGAGACACGGCCCAGACUCCUACGGGAGGCAGCAGUGGGGAAUUUUGGACAAUGGGCGAAAGCCUGAUCCAGCCAUGCCGCGUGCAGGAAGAAGGCCUUCGGGUUGUAAACUGCUUUAGUCUAAGGAAAAAGGGGUGCGAGGUUAAUACCCUCGUGCUUUGAUGGUACUGGAAGAAUAAGCACCGGCUAACUACGUG
rnacentral:rRNA from 1 species